rnacentral:rRNA from 1 species
GAUGAACGCUGGCGGUAUGCUUAACACAUGCAAGUCGAGCGCGUAGCAAUACGAGCGGCAGACGGGUGAGUAACGCGUGGGAAUUUACCCAACCCUACGGAAUAACGCAUGGAAACGUGUGCUAAUACCGUAUACGCCCUUAGGGGGAAAGAUUUAUCGGGGAUGGAUGAGCCCGCGUUGGAUUAGCUAGUUGGUGAGGUAAAGGCUCACCAAGGCGACGAUCCUUAGCUGGUCUGAGAGGAUGAUCAGCCACACUGGGACUGAGACACGGCCCAGACUCCUACGGGAGGCAGCAGUGGGGAAUAUUGGACAAUGGGCGAAAGCCUGAUCCAGCAAUGCCGCGUGAGUGAUG